GACGAACGCUGGCGGCGUGCUUAACACAUGCAAGUCGAACGGAAAGGCCCUGCUUUUGUGGGGUGCUCGAGUGGCGAACGGGUGAGUAACACGUGAGUAACCUGCCCUUGACUUUGGGAUAACUUCAGGAAACUGGGGCUAAUACCGGAUAGGAGCUCCUGCUGCAUGGUGGGGGUUGGAAAGUUUCGGCGGUUGGGGAUGGACUCGCGGCUUAUCAGUUUGUUGGUGGGGUAGUGGCUUACCAAGGCUUUGACGGGUAGCCGGCCUGAGAGGGUGACCGGCCCCAUUGGGACUGAGAUACGGCCCAGACUCCUACGGGAGGCAGCAGUGGGGAAUAUUGCACAAUGGGCGGAAGCCUGAUGCAGCAACGCCGCGUGCGGGAUGACGGCCUUCGGGUUGUAAACCGCUUUCGCCUGUGACGAAGCGUGAGUGACGGUAAUGGGUAAAGAAGCACCGGCUAACUACGUG
rnacentral:rRNA from 1 species